rnacentral:rRNA from 1 species
GAUGAACGCUGACAGAAUGCUUAACACAUGCAAGUCAACUUGAAUUUGGGUUUUUAACUUAGAUUUGGGUGGCGGACGGGUGAGUAACGCGUAAAGAACUUGCCUCACAGCUAGGGACAACAUUUAGAAAUGAAUGCUAAUACCUGAUAUUAUGAUUUUAAGGCAUCUUAGAAUUAUGAAAGCUAUAAGCACUGUGAGAGAGCUUUGCGUCCCAUUAGCUAGUUGGAGAGGUAACAGCUCACCAAGGCGAUGAUGGGUAGCCGGCCUGAGAGGGUGAACGGCCACAAGGGGACUGAGACACGGCCCUUACUCCUACGGGAGGCAGCAGUGGGGAAUAUUGGACAAUGGACCGAGAGUCUGAUCCAGCAAUUCUGUGUGCACGAUGAAGUUUUUCGGAAUGUAAAGUGCUUUCAGUUAGGAAGAAAAAAAUGACGGUACCAACAGAAGAAGUGACGGCUAAAUACGUGCCAGCAGCCGCGGUAAUACGUAUGUCACGAGCGUUAUCCGGAUUUAUUGGGCGUAAAGCGCGUCUAGGUGGUUAUGUAAGUCUGAUGUGAAAAUGCAGGGCUCAACUCUGUAUUGCGUUGGAAACUGUAUAACUAGAGUACUGGAGAGGUAAGCGGAACUACAAGUGUAGAGGUGAAAUUCGUAGAUAUUUGUAGGAAUGCCGAUGGGGAAGCCAGCUUACUGGACAGAUACUGACGCUAAAGCGCGAAAGCGUGGGUAGCAAACAGG